GUUUUGCUUACGUUUCUUCGUCCAUUGAGUGAGCGUGAAUGAAAAAUUUCCAUAUCUCAUUGCUUUUAGCAAUUCUUUUCUUUCGACUGUUCCAAGAUCAUUUCUAUAAAUGACAAGUUUUCCAAAAACUGAGAUGCUUUCCCAUUUUAUGAAACACCAAUUCAUUUCCUGAUAAUUAUCCUCUACUACUUUGGCAUAUUAAUUAGCUGGUUAUAUUGUUAUUGAAGGAUGAACUUUCUUGGCAUAUACGAAUGAGAUCCCCAGGUGUAACACUUGUUGAUAUAACUGUUGAAUUUUUUUUGGUAGAUGGUAAAAAAAUUUCAAU
rnacentral:lncRNA from 1 species